CUUGCUGAGCCGCUUUCAGUCCGCUCAGCCUGCUCAGCCCAGGCCCAGUUCCGUGCGGCGUUUCUUUGCUGCCAUUUGAGAUCUGAGCGCUUUGUUAGAUGUGUCAACUUGUCAGGGUGACGCGCCAGUAGAAUUGAUAUUAUGCCAAAUUGAUUGAAUCUCCUGGGAGACACAUGCAAAUUACUUUAGUUAUGUCAGUCAACAGAGCCAGAGCUCUGAGUGUUUACUACGAGCGUAUUAAUAGAACUGCAAAAGUUGAAAUUAGCCGACGAGGAAAAAUCAAUUUGGCGACAGUUCGUGCCAUAAUGCAGAGUUGGCAUGUCAGCUUCAAAUGCGUAUGUGAGGCAUCUGCGGCAUGGCCACAAUUCGAGCCACAAUUCGGGAUGUCGAUUAUGAGACUAAGUGCCAGACGUGCUCCGCAUGGGGAAUGUGUGUGGGGAAUAGCCUGCCGCAGCUAUUAACGCAGUCACGGAGACAAGGCCAGUGGAGACCCAUUGGAUAUGCAAAGGCAGCCAACAAAACAGCCCCUGGGAGGAUACCAACACUCAUUCACAUACAAGCACACACACAUACACACUCACACAUUUGUGGAACUUGACUGAACUGACGCUCAAUAAACAUUUCAAAUGUUCAAUUA